GUGUGCUAAAGGUAGCCGUGGUGCCGUUUCCGGUCCGGGUUAACGCGGUUUAGAUACGUUACUGAGACAAACGUGGUUUGUCUGGUGCUGGGACACACUUCUGAGGACCAGUCAGCGGGGUGCGGAGGCGAGAACCGGCGUCCGGACUCAGAAGUCUGAAGUCUACUGGGAAGAUCGGGAAAAGGGCCAGGAACCUGAGUACGAUCUAACCCCUGUUUCCGAGGGGGCAACUUCCACCGGGGACCCCUCUGCUCUGGUAACGGCCAAAGAGGAGAUGGCGCCAGUCGGGGAGCGGCCGAGGACAACACAGUAAGGAAGCACGAAAGCGGAGCAACCGGAGAAGCCUCGGAGAAGAGCCAGAGUCGUCACUGCCGCCACCACCGCCCCUACCAUGGAAGGGGCAAAGCCAACAUUACAGCUCGUGUACCAGGCAGUGCAGGCGCUUUACCACGACCCAGAUCCCAGCGGAAAGGAGCGCGCCUCGUUUUGGCUCGGAGAGCUGCAGCGUUCGGUUCAUGCAUGGGAAAUUUCAGACCAAUUGUUACAGAUCCGACAGGAUGUAGAAUCAUGCUAUUUUGCCGCACAGACCAUGAAAAUGAAGAUCCAGACCUCAUUUUAUGAGCUCCCCACAGACUCUCAUGCCUCUUUACGGGACUCAUUACUAACCCAUAUCCAGAACUUGAAAGACUUGUCACCUGUCAUUGUAACACAGCUGGCUUUAGCAAUAGCAGACCUUGCCCUACAGAUGCCUUCCUGGAAGGGAUGUGUACAGACAUUGGUGGAAAAAUACAGCAAUGAUGUAACUUCUCUGCCUUUUCUGCUGGAGAUCCUUACAGUGUUGCCUGAAGAAGUACACAGUCGUUCCUUACGAAUUGGAGCUAACCGGCGCACAGAAAUUAUAGAAGAUUUGGCCUUCUACUCUAGUACAGUGGUAUCUCUGUUGAUGACCUGUGUAGAAAAAGUAGGAACAGAUGAGAAAAUGCUUAUGAAGGUCUUUCGCUGUUUGGGAAGUUGGUUUAACUUAGGUGUUCUGGAUAGUAACUUCAUGGCUAACAAUAAGUUAUUAGCACUCCUUUUUGAGGUUUUGCAACAAGAUAAGACCUCAUCCAACCUCCAUGAAGCUGCUUCAGACUGUGUGUGCUCAGCUCUCUAUGCCAUUGAGAAUGUAGAGACGAACUUGUCAUUAGCAAUGCAACUGUUUCAAGGAGUCCUGACGUUGGAGACUGCCUAUCAUAUGGCUGUGGCACGUGAAGAUUUAGACAAAGUUCUGAAUUACUGCCGUAUUUUCACUGAACUAUGUGAGACUUUUCUUGAAAAAAUUGUUUGUACUCCAGGCCAAGGUCUUGGGGACCUACGAACUCUGGAACUGCUCCUUAUCUGUGCAGGACACCCUCAGUAUGAGGUAGUAGAAAUUUCCUUUAACUUUUGGUACCGACUAGGGGAGCAUCUGUACAAAACCAACGAUGAAGUUAUUCAUGGCAUCUUUAAAGCUUACAUUCAGAGGCUGCUUCAUGCCUUGGCUCGACACUGCCAGCUGGAACCAGACCACGAGGGGGUUCCUGAGGAGACUGAUGACUUUGGGGAGUUUCGAAUGAGGGUAUCAGACCUGGUGAAAGACUUGAUUUUCCUGAUUGGGUCUAUGGAGUGUUUUGCUCAGUUAUAUUCUACUCUGAAAGAAGGCAACCCACCCUGGGAGGUGACAGAAGCGGUUCUCUUUAUCAUGGCUGCUAUAGCAAAGAGUGUUGAUCCGGAGAACAAUCCAACGCUUGUGGAGGUCCUAGAAGGAGUGGUCCGUCUCCCCGAGACUGUGCACAUGGCUGUGCGGUACACCAGCAUUGAACUGGUUGGUGAGAUGAGUGAAGUGGUUGACCGAAAUCCUCAGUUCCUUGACCCUGUAUUGGGCUAUUUGAUGAAAGGCCUGUGUGAAAAGCCUCUGGCUUCUGCUGCAGCCAAAGCCAUUCAUAACAUUUGCUCUGUCUGCCGAGACCACAUGGCUCAGCACUUUAAUGGACUCCUGGAGAUUGCCCGUUCCCUUGAUUCCUUCAUGUUGUCUCCAGAAGCUGCUGUGGGCUUGCUAAAAGGAACAGCACUUGUCCUGGCCAGACUACCAUUGGAUAAAAUUACUGAAUGUCUUAGUGAGCUGUGUUCUGUUCAGGUCCUGGCAUUAAAAAAGCUGUUGUCUCAGGAGCCCAGCAAUGGCAUAUCCUCAGAUCCCACUGUGUUCUUAGAUCGUCUUGCAGUAAUAUUUAGACACACCAAUCCCAUCGUGGAAAAUGGACAGACUCAUCCGUGCCAAAAAGUCAUACAAGAAAUAUGGCCAGUUUUAUCUGAGACUCUAAAUAAGCACCGGGCUGAUAAUCGGAUUGUAGAGCGUUGUUGCAGAUGCCUCCGCUUCGCUGUUCGCUGUGUAGGCAAAGGAUCCGCGGCCCUGCUGCAGCCACUGGUCACACAGAUGGUGAAUGUGUACCACAUACAUCAGCAUUCCUGUUUCCUGUACCUCGGCAGCAUCCUUGUGGAUGAGUAUGGCAUGGAAGAGGGCUGUCGGCAGGGAUUACUAGACAUGCUCCAGGCGCUGUGCUUCCCUACCUUCCAGCUACUAGAGCAGCAGAAUGGGCUCCAGAAUCACCCUGACACCGUGGAUGACCUGUUCAGACUAGCCACCAGGUUUAUUCAGCGUAGCCCAGUCACCUUGCUGAGGAGCCAGGUAGUUAUCCCUAUCUUACAGUGGGCCAUUGCCUCCACUACCCUGGACCACCGGGAUGCCAACUGUAGUGUCAUGCGGUUCCUGCGAGACCUCAUCCAUACAGGAGUAGCCAACGAUCACGAAGAUGACUUUGAAUUACGGAAAGAACUGAUUGGACAGGUGAUGAACCAGCUCGGACAGCAACUUGUAAGCCAGCUGCUCCACACGUGCUGCUUUUGUCUCCCCCCGUACACCCUCCCGGAUGUGGCCGAAGUGCUCUGGGAGAUCAUGCAGGUUGACAGACCGACCUUCUGCCGAUGGUUAGAGAACUCCUUGAAAGGUUUGCCAAAAGAAACAACUGUGGGCGCCGUCACAGUGACACACAAGCAACUCACAGACUUCCACAAACAAGUCACUAGUGCCGAGGAAUGUAAACAAGUGUGCUGGGCCUUGCGAGACUUCACCAGGUUGUUUCGAUAGCUCACGCUCCUCACUGUGCCUGUCACCCAGACACUCCUAGGAUUGUAAGUGUGUAUGGUUAACAAACAAGAAUGUCUUUUUUAAUUAGAAGACAGGAAGAAAACAAAAGCCAGACUGUGUCCCACAAUCAGAAACCUCCAUUGUGGCAGAGGGGCCUUCACCGCCACCAGGGCGUCCCACCAGACAGGGAGAGACUCCAGCCUUCCGAGGCCAUCCUGAGGAGUUCCUGUUUGGGGUGCGAGGGAAGAUCAGCACAGUUUUUAAAAAGAUGGCUGCAGCUUGUCCGGCGUGGUGGGAGGGGAGCUGGUUUCCUGGUGAACUUGUUUCUAAAAGGAAAAAGAAUUUUACGGAAAUAAAAGGAAAACUAAACUGAAAA